UACGGAAGGCAGCAGUGGGGAAUAUUGCACAAUGGGCGAAAGCCUGAUGCAGCUAUGCCGCGUGUAUGAAGAAGGCCUUAGGGUUGUAAAGUACUUUCAUCGGGGAGGAAAAACAAAACUAAUAAUUUUAUUUCUUGACGUUACCCGAAAAAGAAGCACCGGCUAACUCCGUGCCAGCAGCCGCGGUAAUACGGAGGGUGCUAGCGUUAAUCAGAAUUACUGGGCGUAAAGAGCACGUAGGUGGUUUUUUUAAAGUCAGAUGUGAAUCCCUGGGCUUAACCUGGAACUGCAUUUUGAAACUGAAAUACUAGAGUAUCGUAGAGGGAGGUAGAAUUCUAGGUGUAGCGGUGAAAUGCGUAGAUAUCUGGAGGAAUACCUGUGGCGAAAGCGGCCUCCUAAACGAAUACUGACACUGAGGUGCGAAAGCGUGGGGAGCAAACAGGGAUUAGAUACC
rnacentral:rRNA from 1 species